CUCAUCUGAGUUAUAGUUCUCUGUCUUUUCAGUUUUAUAGGUUUUUGGUGUGAUGACCUUUUUACAGAUAGAAGAGUUGUGGCCUCUCUUACUUCUGGUUUCUGCCCCCCUUGAGGCUGAAUUGGUAUGGGGGCUUUCUGUGGGCUUCCUGAUGGGAAGGACUGAUGCCUACUCACUGGUAGGUGGAGCUAAUUCCUAUCCCUCUGGUGGGUGGGGCUUUGUCUCUGGGUGAGAUUAAAGGUGGCUGUGUGCCUGGGGGUCUUUAGGCCGCCUGUUUCCUGAUGGGCAGGGCUGUGAUCCCACCUGGAUUGUUGUUUGCCCUGGGGCUUCUCAGCACUCAUGGGUGGGGCCAGAUUUGCCCAAAAUAGCCACCUCCCGGGAAAGGCAUGCUGAUGAAUAUUCCCAAGAGCUUUGCUUCCAAUGUCCCUCUCCCACAACAAGCCACAGGCACCCCUGUUUUCCCAGGAUGUCCUCCAAGAAGUCUAGUCAGGUUUGACCCAGAUUCCAAUGGAGACUUUGCUUUGCCCGGUGACCAGUGCACAUGAAAGUCUGUGUGUGCCUUUUAAGAAUGGGGACUCCAUUUCCCCCAGUCCUGUGGAGCUCCUGCACACCAGCCCCACCAGCCUUCAAUGCCAGGUGCUCCGGGGGCUCUUUCUCCCAGUGCCAGAUCCCCACACAUGGGCGUUUGAUGUGAGGCUCAGUACUCUCACUCCUGUAGGUGAGUCUCUGUGAAACAGUUACUUUCUAGUCUGUGGGGCUUCCCACCCAGGAGGUAUGAAGUUGCUUAUGCUGUGUAAUCACCCCUCCUACCUCUUCAUGUGGCCUCCUCUUUGUCUUUUGCAGUGGGAUAUCUUUUUGAAAGUUUCCAGUCCAUUUGGUUGAAGAUUGCUCAGCAUUUGGCUGUAAAUUUUGUUGUUUUUAGAAGAGAAGUUGAGCUCUAGUCCUUCUAUUCCACCAUCUUAAUCCCAUCUCAAUUGUGUCUUUAUGGCCUUCAUUUUAAAGUCUAUUUUGUCUGAUAUGAGUAGUGCAACUCCUGCUUUCCUAUCUUGUCCACUGGCAUGAAAUAUAUUUUCCUAUCCCCUCACUUUCAAUUUAUAUGUGUCCUCUGCCCUAAGGUGCAUCUCUUGUAGAUAGCAUAUUGUAGGCUCUUGCUUUUUUAUCCUGAUUGGAUUUUGUUGUUGUUGUUGUUGUUGUUGUUGUUAUUUCUUGGGCCGCUCCCCCGCGGCAUAUGGAGGUUCCCAGGCCAGGGGUUGAAUCGGAGCUGUAGCCACCGGCCUACGCCAGAGCCACAGCAACGCGGGAUCCGAGCCGCGUCUGCAACCUACACCACAGCUCACGGCAACGCCGGAUCGUUAACCCACUGAGCAAGGGCAGGGACCGAAACCGCAACCUCAUGGUUCCUAGUCGGAUUCGUUAACCACUGUGCCACGACGGGACGGGAACUCCCUGAUUGGAUUUUUUUUAAUGUUUCCUGGUGAAGGGGCCAGUCACAGGAAGAGCAUUGUUCCUGCUUGAACACAGGCUGAGCAGCUAGUUGAUAACUUCAUUCUUUCUGGAUUCACAGGUCAAGUUGGCAUAUGUGUGAGUUAAAACUAAAGAAAGCAAACUUCCUAUAUCUAGUAAAUUUAGUAAAUCUAGUAAAUUUUAGUAAACCUAGUAAAUUUAUUGGAAAAUUCUGGCAAGUCAUCACAGAUGCUUUACCUCUCAAAUGGUAAAUGACAUCAAGGGGACAGCAACGAUAAUGGCAUCAAGGGGACAGCAAGUAUUAUCCUCAAUCGAACUGGGUAAUUCCAGUUUAUCAAUUCCAUUUAUCCAGUGAUAAAUUCCAGUUUAUUAUCUAGAAGCCUCUUUGUAGUUCCUUUACAAUUCCAUUAUUUUAUUUUAAAAAUGUUGCUCUUGAUUACAAGUGAAUUGCUUAAUCACUCUAUGGAAAUUCAUACAUUCUUUUUACCACCUGCAGCUAAUGCUUUAAAUGCUGAAUGGUAGCAACUAAACUUUCCCAGGCACUUGAAGGUUAAUAAGAGGCAAAGUAGACUGACCAUGGUGUCUUAAUCUUGGCUUCACUACUUUUAGUAAAGCCUUGAAAAAGUUCCUUACCUUCCCAAUGCCUGUUCUUCCAUAAAAUGGAAAUGGUGACUGUAGUAGAACUCACAAGGCUUUGGAGAAGAUUAAACAUGCUGGAUGCACAUAAAGCACUUAAUACAAUGUCUAGCAUGGAAGUACAUAGUAGGUUACAGUUACAAUUAUCAGUAGUAGUACACAGGCUUCAUAACCCUGUGAAGUAGGUACAUACUAUCACGUCCACUUUCAAAAUGAGAAAACUAAGACUUGGAGAAGCUGUCACUUGCCUAAAGCCAAACAACCAAUAAGGAACAUUCCCUAACUCCAGAACCUGCAAUGUAUGUUAAACCAAGAUGAACUACACUACACCUACACUUCUGCCCCUCCCCCAGUGAUUUUCACUAGACUUUCU
rnacentral:lncRNA from 1 species